UUAUAGUAUCUGCAAGAGCUUUAUCUGAGACAAAUGCAGCUACAUGAAGUCCCAACAGAUAUCUUGAGUUUGCAGCAACUACGGAUCCUAAACCUCAUCCAAAAUUCCAUGCAGUCGGUUCCAGUGGUUAUAUUCAACGUUGAUGGAGGAGAGGGUGGUUUUGAAAUGGAGGAAGAAUGAGGAUGUUCUGUGGUUUGGGUUGUCACUGUUUCUGCGUUUUCCUCUUGCUUCGUCAUUGAACGAUGAAGAAACUUGCAGGGGAAUAAACUAACUGGUCAAAUCCGGGAUGAGAUUGGCAACUGUGCUUCUCUUAUUUAUCUGAUGGCACCAUCUAGAAUUCAUGUUACUUGUGCACUAGUUUGUGACAAAACAUCAACAGGAAGGAUUCACAAAGGCGUGUGUUCAACAUGGAUGAAGUGAUGGUUGUAGUUGGGCAGCCAUUUUUGUUCGGCAAUCAAACUUCAGACUUCCCGUUGAUACUAAAGUACCCAUUAUCAUGAUUGGUCCUGGAACUGGAUUUGCUCCUUUCAGGGAUUUCUUGCAGGACUACAAUUACGAAGAUGAGCUGAACAACUUCGUAGAAAAAGGUGCACUUUCUGAGCUUGUGGUUGCAUUCUCCUGCCAGGGACCCACCAAGGAAUAUGUGCAACAUAAAAUGAUGCAGAAGGUUUGACACCUACUUAAGUCUCUAUUUUCAACCUCUGCCUACA